CUUUGACAAAUUUGAAGCGGAAUAUCAAGUCAAUUUUGCUUUACACAGGCACAGCUUCUCACAAAUUGCCCAAAUCAAGUAUAUAUAAAGGCCUAUAAACAACUCAAUCAAGUAAUCAACACAUGCCUCUAAAAUCACACAUUCACACUAUUCCCUUUCUUCACCGCCCGCACACCUGCUACGCAGGCUAAAUGUCACGUGACUGGACAAACUGACAACUUUUUUACCGUAACAAAGUGGCAAGCCAUAUAUGGCUUGCCACAAAAAUAGAAGGAUUCAAAGUUUUACGGUGGAAAUCAGCCUUUUGGAAGUCAAAACUCGAAAGAGGAACGCUUCACGUAGUUUACUUGUAAUAGAUAAAAACUCGUUUCGUUCUUUCAAUAAUCAUGGCUUGCUGUAUGUAUGUUAUUGCAAUGGGGACUUUUGUGGCCAAAUAUUGCUCGAAAUCGUUUUCUCUGGGUGUCCACCCAUUUGACAGGAUGGGUUAGGAUGAACCCUUUGGAUGAACACAGUUAAUUAUAAGACUAAGUACUAUCGCAAUUGUCGUAAAGAUAAAAAAGCGCAUUUGAUCAUAUAUCCACAUGUAAAUUUGCGCUGUAGAUGUGUUAAUCUUAAUCUCAAUCUUAAUAUAAAUUCACAAACAUAUGUGAAUAACAGGAAAUAGGAACUUAAAGUUUUACGUGCGUAUACGUACGUAUGCCGGAAAAACGCAACAGUGGAAAUUAACUCAUUUGGAAUACGAGCCGAAAUUCUGAGCUUUGUGUCAAUUGUGACAGCUUGACCAUGUUUAACAAAACAUUAGUCAUUACUAAUUUCAGAAAUAUUUUUUUCACAUUCAAAAUGACGUGAAAUUCCAGACCUCUCAACUCUCACGCAUUCGGCGUGAGUCUCACGCAAUUCGCUUCACUCUCACGCCACGUUC